rnacentral:rRNA from 1 species
UACGUAGGGUGCAAGCGUUAAUCGGAAUUACUGGGCGUAAAGGGUGCGUAGGCGGCGCGGUAAGUCGGGUGUGAAAUCUCGGAGCUUAACUCCGAAACUGCAUUCGAUACUGCCGUGCUUGAGGACUGGAGAGGAGACUGGAAUUUACGGUGUAGCGGUGAAAUGCGUAGAUAUCGUAAGGAAGACCAGUGGCGAAGGCGGGUCUCUGGACAGUUCCUGACGCUGAGGCACGAAGGUCAGGGGAGCAAACGGG